rnacentral:lncRNA from 1 species
AUGACGCUCAGUUCGCGUCGCGUUUCUCCGCGGAGGACGUGGAGUUCCAGCGGUACCGGGAGCGCGCACCGGACGCGCCGCCCGUGGUCGAGGACUGGAGAGCGCGCAGAGACCGGCGGGCUCCGGAGCACCGGCAGCACGAGCAUCGCUUCCCUGAGCGCCGCCAUGACCGGAACUUCGGCGCUUACCACCAGCGAUCACGAUUCUGACAGGGAACCAGACCCCAAGCGAUGCUUGUCGGAUCACUGUUGAUCUUAGUGGAGUUACACUGGCUUCUGUGUAAAUAAAGCAGUUCAAAUGAUCGCCUGUGUGUGUGUGUGUGUGUGUGUGUGUGUAUGAGAGAGUGUGUGAGAGAGACACUCUGUCUCCUGUGUGUGUGUGUGUGUGUAUGAGAGAGAAAGAGAGAGAGAGAGUGUGUGAGAGAGAAAGAGAAUGUGUGUUUAUGUGUGUGUCUGUCUCAUUGUGUAUGUGUGUAUGAGAGAGAGAUCAACCAACCAAUUGGCCAAUGUUUUAGAAUGUUUUUUCCCAUUCAAGGUCUCACUCUCCAUGACACUGAGAUAAAGUGUCUUCUUUACGCAGACGACCUGGUUCUCCUGUAAACCUCCAAAAAACUAAGGUCAUGAUAGUUCAGAAACGCUCCAGACCUCAGGGACUAACACAUUCACACUAUCACACAGAACCAAUGAAAACACAAAAACAUACACUUACCUCGGCCUAAAAAUUACUCCAAAAGGUAACUUUACUUUGGCUGUGAAGGAGCUCAAAGAGAAAGCUCAAAGGGCUUUCUAUGCCAUAAAAAGAUCAAUUAAAAUUGACAUCCCCAUCCAAAUCUGGCUCAAACUUUUUAAAUCAGUAAUUGAACCAAUCGUACUAUAUGGCAGUGAGGUGUGGGGUCCAUCUAUAAAAUUAGGUUUUUUAAACUGGGAAAACAUCCAAUUGAAAAUAUGCAUUUAGAUUUCUGUAAAAGAAUACUCAAAGUCCAAAGAAAAGCAUCAAACAAUGGAUGCAGGGCAGAAUUAGGCCAAUAUCCUCUCCUUCUAAACAUUCAAAAAAGAGCCAUCAAAUUCUGGAAACACCUAAAGAUGAGUGACCCCAAAACAUACCAUUAUAAAGCCCUGAAACACCAAGAGCUGAAGCUCACGAAGAGUCCCCUCCUUCAGCUGCUG